rnacentral:rRNA from 1 species
ACGCACGCUGGCGGCGUGCUUCACCCAUGCAAGUCGCACGGAAAGGCCCUGCUUGCAGGGUACUCGAGUGGCGAACGGGUGAGUAACACGUGGGUGAUCUGCCCUGCACUUCGGGAUAAGCCUGGGAAACUGGGUCUAAUACCGGAUAGGAGCCAUUUUUAGUGUGAUGGUUGGAAAGUUUUUUCGGUGUAGGAUGAGCUCGCGGCCUAUCAGCUUGUUGGUGGGGUAAUGGCCUACCAAGGCGGCGACGGGUAGCCGGCCUGAGAGGGUGGACGGCCACAUUGGGACUGAGAUACGGCCCAGACUCCUACGGGAGGCAGCAGUGGGGAAUAUUGCACAAUGGGCGCAAGCCUGAUGCAGCGACGCCGCGUGGGGGAUGACGGCCUUCGGGUUGUAAACUCCUUUCGCUAGGGACGAAGCUUUUUGUGACGGUACCUAGAGAAGAAGCACCGGCUAACUACGUG